AAUCUGAAGAAUGAUGAAGGAUUAACUCCUCUUCACGUUGCAUGUCAUGAAACAUAUUUUGAAAUGGCUGAGCUGCUAAUCGAAAACGAUGCCGAUGUCAAUACAAAGAGUAAUACUGGGCAUACACCUUUACAUGUCACGCUUGGUGUUGAGCAACAAAAUCUCCCAGGUCUGUUAGGAUUAAUGUUGAGUCGACCAAAUGACGAGAGCGAACGGGUGAAAAUCGCCUGUUUGUUAAUUGACAACGAUGCAGACACUACAAUCAAAGAUAAUACAGGGAAAACCCCUCUUCAAAUAUGCAAAAGUCCUAGAGUACGAGACGGAGUUCUUAACUUCAUA